rnacentral:rRNA from 1 species
AUGCAUGUCUAAGUAUAAGCACUUGUACUGUGAAACUGCGAAUGGCUCAUUAAAUCAGUUAUCGUUUAUUUGAUUGUACCUUUUACUACAUGGAUACCUGUGGUAAUUCUAGAGCUAAUACAUGCGAAAAAUCCCGACUUCUGGAAGGGAUGUAUUUAUUAGAUUAAAAACCAAUGCGAGUCCUCGUGGCUCGUCUACUUGGUGAUUCAUGAUAACUUUUCGAAUCGCAUGGCCUAGCGCCGGCGAUGUUUCAUUCAAAUUUCUGCCCUAUCAACUGUCGAUGGUAAGGUAGUGGCUUACCAUGGUUGUAACGGGUGACGGAGAAUUAGGGUUCGAUUCCGGAGAGGGAGCCUGAGAAACGGCUACCACA